rnacentral:rRNA from 1 species
GCGUGAGUGAAGAAGGCCUUUGGGUUGUAAAGCUCUUUUGUAGGGGAAGAUAAUGACUGUACCCUAAGAAUAAGGUCCGGCUAACUUCGUGCCAGCAGCCGCGGUAAUACGAAGGGACCUAGCGUAGUUCGGAAUUACUGGGCGUAAAGCGCGCGUAGGCCGUUGAGUUAGUUAAUUGUGAAAUCCCAAAGCUUAACUUUGGAACUGCAAUUAAAACUGCUCGACUAGAGUUUGAUAGAGGAAAGCGGAAUACAUAGUGUAGAGGUGAAAUUCGUAGAUAUUAUGUAGAACACCAGUUGCGAAGGCGGCUUUCUGGGUCAACACUGACGCUGAGGCGCGAAAGUAUGGGUAGCAAAGAGGAUUAGAUACCCUCGUAGUCCAUACCAUAAACGAUGAUUGCUAGAUGUUGGAAAUUUAUUUUCAGUAUCGCAGCUAACGCAUUAAGCAAUCCGCCUGGGGAGUACGACCGCAAGGUUAAAACUCAAAUGAAUUGACGGGGACCCGCACAAGCGGUGGAGCAUGUGGUUUAAUUCGAAGAUACGCGCAGAACCUUACCAACCCUUGACAUGUCUGUCGCGAGUUUAGGAAACUAGACUUNUCGGUUCGGNCGGACAGAACACAGGUGCUGCAUGGCUGUCGUCAGCUCGUGUCGUGAGAUGU